UUAUCUAUUUUUGAUGACGUAACAGUGCACAAUGAUUCGUCACCAGCAAGAAGAGGGAUAAAAACAGAGUCAGACAAAUCCACCAUAUCACCCACUUUACGCGACUGAGCGCGAGUGACAGCGCAUGCGGGAAAAACUUCAGGAUCAUUUCCAAGGAUAAAAUCAACGCCCUGAACAGGAAGAGAAGGACGUACCGCCACUCUUACAAAUCCCGUACAUAACUCACUCUGUAAAUGUAUACGAUGUAAUGGCACAGUUAUACAACUCAUGUCAAUGCCCUGAACUAUCACACUUGAGCCACAGAAAGUGUCCUCAGACAAUGGUAAUCUAUCUGCCACAAUAAAAGAUUGCAUUGCA